GAUGUCUCAAUGAACCUGAAGCUCACUGAUUUAGCUAGACUGCCUGCUCAGAGAUAAAGGGUCCUGUAUGUCUCUACUCACCAGCACUCGCCACCACAACCCAAGCUCCAGGACUACAGCUGCAGACCUGUCCCGAGGGACUUCAAUUCCUCAUUUCUAUGUUAACAGUAUCAGGAGUCUGACAGUGACUCGACUCUGCUUGGCCCAGUUAGGGACAUUCUCAGUAUCUGUGCUUUUCCAAACAAAUGCCUGCUGUAUAAUUCAGAGCAGCCCCCAAAAGCUGAAAAUACCAGGACAAAAUACCAAGUGCUUGUCUCUGAUCAGCUAUUGAUUUUGUGCCAUCUGUCACCUGGGAUGCCUGAACUCGGUGAUGCGGCAUCUCUUAGCUUACAUUUUCCUAGGCAACCGCAGCUUCC